CCUACGGGUGGCAGCAGUGGGGAAUAUUGCGCAAUGGGCGAAAGCCUGACGCAGCGACGCCGCGUGAGGGAUGAAGGUCUUCGGAUCGGAAACCUCUGUCAGCAGGGAAGAACGGUCACGGUGCUAAUCAGCAGUGAAUUGACGGUACCUGCAAAGGAAGCACCGGCUAACUCCGUGCCAGCAGCCGCGGUAAUACGGAGGGGGCGAGCGUUAAUCGGAAUUACUGGGCGUAAAGCGCUCGUAGGCGGUAUGUCACGUCAAGGGUGAAAUCCCCGCGCUCAACGUGGGAACUGCCUUUGAAACUGGCAACCUGGAGUGUGUGAGAGGCUAGUGGAAUUCCAGGUGUAGCCGUUAAAUCCGUAGAUAUCUGGAGGAACAUCAGUGGCGAAGGCGACUAUCUGGCACAUAACUGACGCUGAGGAGCGAAAGCGUGGGUAGCAAACAGGAUUCGAUACCCCUGUAGUC
rnacentral:rRNA from 1 species